rnacentral:tRNA from 4 species
GAUAAUAGUUAAUUAUAACAUUUGAUUUGCAUUCAAAAAGUGCUGAUUAAUCAGCUUAUCUU